UCCCAACUGAGCCACAUGACCCGGCGGAAAUUCUGGCGUUCCUACAAAGCGGAAAUCCUCAUCUACCUACCCAUGAUUGGAAGGUGGUGAAGGUUUCCGCCCCGAUGGGAAAUGUCAGAAAGGCGACUGUUGUCCUUAAUAAGGAAACGUUGGCGCCAUUGCGUGAAUGCGGAGGUAAAGUUUACUAUGGUUUUGAUAGUAUCUCCCUUCGCAUUUAUCGCAGUGACGCCAAACGCAGCGCCGCCGCCUCUGGUACUAAGCCGGAGGCUCCGUCCAAGGAGGAUAAUGGAAAGGCCGACGAUCCCGCUGGUUCUGAGAACCAAGAAGACUCCCAGUCUACCACAGGUAUAAUGGGUGAGCUUCUUGGCAAUCUGAAGUUAUCGGAGGAUGGAGACAGUUCGCAGGAUUCCGAUCCUGAGGACGUCGACGUCACUGUCGUGUACGAUCCUGAUCUCGGAGAUGGUGAAGGUAACCCAGAUUAACCUUCACCACUCCAAAGCAGCAUCAGCUGCUUUGCUCCUCCGGAUGGCUGAGAGAGGGGAGGAGCUCAUCUUGGUCCAAGAACCGUGGACCCACCACGGCAAAAUCCUUGGACUAUCUCUCAGAGGUUACAAACUUCUGUUUUCAAAUCCUGCAGCGAUGAGGAUACGGUAGCGGCGGCACUUGAGACCGGAAACUCCACCAUCUGGCUCCUUAGCUGCUAUAUGGCGCAUGACCAUGGUGAACAACCGCCAAACGACCUGGUCAGAGAUCUAAUGCGCGAAGCAAAUAGGCGUCACGUUCCUGUGAUAAUUGGCGCUGAUGCAAAUGCUCAUCACAGUGUCUGGGGCAGUUCAGACACCAACAGUAGAGAGGUUCAGAACCUACUUUUGUUGUGACAAACAGAAAGGAAGUUCUGGAUAUUACAGCUAUUAGUACAAACUACAUAGAAUUGAUCAAAGAUUGGAAUGUCUCCAAUGACUGCUCCUUCUCUGAUCACCGCUACCUGGACUUUGACAUAGUGGUCCAGGUCAAAGUUUCAAAACCCUUUCUAAAUAGAAGGAAAACAAAUUGGGAGAGGCACAAAGCUUCUCUGAGUACUAUUCUUCCCUCUGCUCCGACGGUAGAGAGCAUAAGGGAUAUUGAUUUGGCUGCAAAUUGGAUUGCUAGUUCUCUGAGCGUUGCCACGAAGAGA